GACAGGUGUGGCUCACAUCUGUAAUCCCUCCUACCUGGGAGACAGAGGCUGGCUGAUCUCUUGGGGUGGAGAGUUCUGAGCUGCAGUGGGCUAAGCUGAUUGGGAGCUCGCGCUGUUUGGCAUUUUAUUGUGAACCCUCAGAACAGGGGCCCACCAAGACACCUAAGGAGGGGUGAAUUGGCCCAGGUUGAAAAUAGAGCAGGUCAGAGCUCUUGUGGUUAUUAGAGUGGGAGUAGAUCCAUGAUAGUACUUCCAGCCUGAGUGAGAUAGAGACCCAGUCUUUA
rnacentral:SRP_RNA from 1 species